CUCCGGUGAUCCUGCCGGACCCGACUGCUAUCGGAUUGAGAUUUAGCCAUGCGAGUCGAACGUUCCCCUGUUGCGGGGAGCGUGGCGUACGGCUCAGUAACACGUAGUCAACCUGCCCUGGAGACAAGGACAACCCCGGGAAACUGGGAUUAAUCCUUGAUAGGUCAUCUCAUCUGGAAGGAGAGAUGGCUUAAAGGGGUACGCGGGCUUCUUCCGCGAAUUCGCUCCAGGAUGGGACUGCGUCCGAUCAGGCUGUUGGCGGGGUAAUGGCCCACCAAACCUGUAACCGGUACGGGCCUUGAGAGAGGUGGCCCGGAGAUGGACACUGAGAGAAGGGUCCAGGUCCUACGGGGCGCAGCAGGCGCGAAACCUUCGCAAUGCGCGAAAGCGUGACGAGGUUAAUCCGAGUGACUCCCGCUGAGGGGGUCUUUUGUCAGCUGUAAAUAGGCAGGCGAAUAAGGGGAGGGCAAGCCUGGUGUCAGCCGCCGCGGUAAUACCAGCUCCUCGAGUGGUCGGGGCGAUUAUUGGGCCUAAAGCAUCCGUAGCCGGUUCCGUAGGUCCUCUGUUAAAUCCAACCGCUCAACAGUUGACCUGCAGAGGAUACCGCGGGACUAGGAGGCGGGAGAGGCGGACGGUACUCCGCGUGUAGGGGUAAAAUCCUUUGAUCCGCGGAAGACCACCAGUGGCGAAGGCGGUCCGCCAGAACGCGCUCGACGAUGAGGGAUGAAAGCUGGGGGAGCGAACCGGAUUAGAUACCCGGGUAGUCCCAGCCGUAAACGAUGCUAGCUAGAUGAUUCAUUCGCAAGUCGCGAAUGAAGUGUCGCAGGGAAGCCGUUAAGCUAGCCGCCUGGGGAGUACGGUCGCAAGACUGAAACUUAAAGGAAUUGGCGGGGGGCA
rnacentral:rRNA from 1 species